UCCAGACUCCUACGGGAGGCAGCAGUGGGGAAUAUUGCACAAUGGGCGAAAGCCUGAUGCAGCGACGCCGCGUGAGUGAAGAAGUAUUUCGGUAUGUAAAGCUCUAUCAGCAGGGAAGAAAAUGACGGUACCUGACUAAGAAGCCCCGGCUAACUACGUGCCAGCAGCCGCGGUAAUACGUAGGGGGCAAGCGUUAUCCGGAUUUAUUGGGUUUAAAGGGUGCGUAGGCGGAGUGUCAAGUCAGCGGUAAAAUUUCGGGGCUCAACCCCGUCGUGCCGUUGAAACUGACACCCUUGAGUGCGCGAGAAGUAUGCGGAAUGCGUGGUGUAGCGGUGAAAUGCAUAGAUAUCACGCAGAACUCCGAUUGCGAAGGCAGCAUACCGGCGCGCAACUGACGCUCAUGCACGAAAGCGUGGGUAUCGAACAGGAUUAGAUACCCUUGUA
rnacentral:rRNA from 1 species